rnacentral:rRNA from 1 species
AAGUCGAACGGGAACAGGAAGCAGCUUGCUGCUUCGCUGACGAGUGGCGGACGGGUGAGUAAUGUCUGGGAAACUGCCUGAUGGAGGGGGAUAACUACUGGAAACGGUGGCUAAUACCGCAUAACGUCGCAAGACCAAAGAGGGGGACCUUCGGGCCUCUUGCCAUCAGAUGUGCCCAGAUGGGAUUAGCUAGUUGGUGAGGUAACGGCUCACCAAGGCGACGAUCCCUAGCUGGUCUGAGAGGAUGACCAGCCACACUGGAACUGAGACACGGUCCAGACUCCUACGGGAGGCAGCAGUGGGGAAUAUUGCACAAUGGGCGCAAGCCUGAUGCAGCCAUGCCGCGUGUAUGAAGAAGGCCUUCGGGUUGUAAAGUACUUUCAGCGGGGAGGAAGGUGUUGUGGUUAAUAACCGCAG